GAUGAACGCUGGCGGCGUGCCUAAUACAUGCAAGUCGAGCGAACAGAUGAGGAGCUUGCUCCUCUGACGUUAGCGGCGGACGGGGGAGUAACACGUGGAUAACCUACCUAUAAGACUGGGAUAACUUCGGGAAACCGGAGCUAUUACCGGAUAAUUUAUUGAACCGCAUGGUUCAAUAGUGAAAGACGGUUUUGCUGUCACUUAUAGUUGGAUCCGCGCCGCAUUAGCUAGUUGGUAAGGUAACGGCUUACCAAGGCAACGAUGCGUAGCCGACCUGAGAGGGUGAUCGGCCACACUGGAACUGAGACGCGGUCCAGACUCCUACGGGAGGCAGCAGUAGGGAAUCGUCCGCAAUGGGCGAAAGCUUGACGGAGCAACGCCGCGUGAGUGAUGAAGGUCUUCGGAUCGUAAAACUCUGUUAUUAGGGAAGAACAAAUGUGUAAGUAACUAUGCACGUCUUGACGGUACCUAAUCAGAAAGCCACGGCUAACUACGUG
rnacentral:rRNA from 1 species